ACCACUUCCAGCCUUUUGACUUACAUAAAGUGCAGUGUAGGUUCUCAUAAUGUUAAUAUCUGAUACUUCCCCUAUCCGGGGACCAUAUAGUACAUGGAUUUUUCAGUACGUGGGCUGAUGUGGAAGCUUGCUUCAGUCGCCCCGUGCAUUAACCCACUAUGAUGGUUUCUUCGGGUACUGUACACCAAAA